GUCUGGCUGGCUCAGUUGGUUGAGCAUCCGACUUCAGCUCAGGUCAUGAUCUCAUGAUCUGUGAGUUUGAACCCCACGUCAGGCU
rfam:Felis catus isolate Cinnamon breed Abyssinian chromosome E2, whole genome shotgun sequence.